rnacentral:rRNA from 1 species
AACGAACGCUGGCGGCAUGCCUAACACAUGCAAGUCGAACGAGACCUUCGGGUCUAGUGGCGCACGGGUGCGUAACACGUGGGAAUUUGCCUCGGGGUAUGGAAUAACUCAGGGAAACUUGAGCUAAUACCAUAUAAUGUCUUCGGACCAAAGAUUUAUCGCCCUGAGAUAAGCCCGCGUAGGAUUAGCUAGUUGGUGGGGUAAAGGCUCACCAAGGCGACGAUCCUUAGCUGGUCUGAGAGGAUGAUCAGCCACACUGGGACUGAGACACGGCCCAGACUCCUACGGGAGGCAGCAGUGGGGGAAUAUUGGACAAUGGGCGGAAAGCCUGAUCCAGCAAUGCCGCGUGAGUGAU